GAGGAAUAAGCAUCGGCUAACUCCGUGCCAGCAGCCGCGGUAAUACGGGGGAUGCAAGCGUUAUCCGGAAUCAUUGGGCGUAAAGCGCCUGUAGGUUGUUUAAUAAGUCUGUUGUUAAAGACUAGGGCUUAACCCUAGAAAAGCAAUGGAAACUACUAGACUAGAGUAUGGCAGGGGUAGAGGGAAUUUCUAGUGUAGCGGUGAAAUGCGUAGAUAUUAGAAAGAACACCGGUGGCGAAAGCGCUCUACUGGACCAUUACUGACACUCAGAGGCGAAAGCUAGGGUAGCAAAAGGGAUUAGAUACCCCUGUAGUCUUAGCCGUAAACGAUGGAUACUAGAUGUUGUGCAUAAAGUACAGUAUCAUAGCUAACGCGUUAAGUAUCCCGCCUGGGGAGUACGCUCGCAAGGGUGAAACUCAAAGGAAUUGACGGGGGCCCGCACAAGCGGUGGAGCAUGUGGUUUAAUUCGAUGCAACGCGAAGAACCUUACCAGGGCUUGACAUACUACAAAUCUUUUUGAGAAAGAGGAGUGCCUUCGGGAAUGUAGAUACAGGUGGUGCAUGGCUGUCGUCAGCUCGUGUCGUGAGAUGUUGGGUUAAGUCCCGCAACGAGCGCAACCCUUAUUUUUAGUUACUAAUUCGUUAGGUUUUCUAGAAAGACUGCCGGUGACAAACCGGAGGAAGGUGAGGAUGACGUCAAGUCAGCAUGCCCCUUAUGUCCUGGGCUACACACGUGCUACAAUGGCUAAGACAAAGAGUCGCGAGCUCGUGAGAGUCAGCUAAUCUCGUAAACUUAGCCUAAGUUCAGAUUGUAGGCUGCAACUCGCCUGCAGAAG
rnacentral:rRNA from 1 species